rnacentral:rRNA from 1 species
UACAGAGGGGGCAAGCGUUGUUCGGAAUUACUGGGCGUAAAGGGCGCGUAGGCGGCCUUCUAAGUCAGACGUGAAAUCCCCGGGCUCAACCCGGGAACUGCGUCUGAGACUGGAAGGCUUGAAUCCGGGAGAGGGAUGUGGAAUUCCAGGUGUAGCGGUGAAAUGCGUAGAUAUCUGGAGGAACACCGGUGGCGAAGGCGGCGUCCUGGACCAACACUGACACUGAGGAGCGAAAGCCAGGGGAGCAAACGGG